rnacentral:rRNA from 1 species
GGCGGCAGGCCUAACACAUGCAAGUCGAACGGUAACAGGAAGAAGCUUGCUUCUUUGCUGACGAGUGGCGGACGGGUGAGUAAUGUCUGGGAAACUGCCUGAUGGAGGGGGAUAACUACUGGAAACGGUAGCUAAUACCGCAUAACGUCGCAAGACCAAAGAGGGGGACCUUCGGGCCUCUUGCCAUCGGAUGUGCCCAGAUGGGAUUAGCUAGUAGGUGGGGUAAAGGCUCACCUAGGCGACGAUCCCUAGCUGGUCUGAGAGGAUGACCAGCCACACUGGAACUGAGACACGGUCCAGACUCCUACGGGAGGCAGCAGUGGGGAAUAUUGCACAAUGGGCGCAAGCCUGAUGCAGCCAUGCCGCGUGUAUGAAGAAGGCCUUCGGGUUGUAAAGUACUUUCAGCGGGGAGGAAGGGAGUAAAGUUAAUACCUUUGCUCAUUGACGUUACCCGCAGAAGAAGCACCGGCUAACUCCGUGCCAGCAGCCGCGGUAAUACGGAGGGUGCAAGCGUUAAUCGGAAUUACUGGGCGUAAAGCGCACGCAGGCGGUUUGUUAAGUCAGAUGUGAAAUCCCCGGGCUCAACCUGGGAACUGCAUCUGAUACUGGCAAGCUUGAGUCUCGUAGAGGGGGGUAGAAUUCCAGGUGUAGCGGUGAAAUGCGUAGAGAUCUGGAGGAAUACCGGUGGCGAAGGCGGCCCCCUGGACGAAGACUGACGCUCAGGUGCGAAAGCGUGGGGGGCAAACAGGAUUAGAUACCCUGGUAGUCCACGCCGUAAACGAUGUCGACUUGGAGGUUGUGCCCUUGAGGCGUGGCUUCCGGAGCUAACGCGUUAAGUCGACCGCCUGGGGAGUACGGCCGCAAGGUUAAAACUCAAAUGAAUUGACGGGGGCCCGCACAAGCGGUGGAGCAUGUGGUUUAAUUCGAUGCAACGCGAAGAACCUUACCUGGUCUUGACAUCCACAGAACUUUCCAGAGAUGGAUUGGUGCCUUCGGGAACUGUGAGACAGGUGCUGCAUGGCUGCCGUCAGCUCGUGUUGUGAAAUGUUGGGUUAAGUCCCGCAACGGGCGCAACCCUUAUCCUUUGUUGCCAGCGGUCCGGCCGGGAACUCAAAGGAGACUGCCAGUGAUAAACUGGAGGAAGGUGGGGAUGACGUCAAGUCAUCAUGGCCCUUACGACCAGGGCUACACACGUGCUACAAUGGCGCAUACAAAGAGAAGCGACCUCGCGAGAGCAAGCGGACCUCAUAAAGUGCGUCGUAGUCCGGAUUGGAGUCUGCAACUCGACUCCAUGAAGUCGGAAUCGCUAGUAAUCGUGGAUCAGAAUGCCACGGUGAAUACGUUCCCGGGCCUUGUACACACCGCCCGUCACACCAUGGGAGUGGGUUGCAAAAGAAGUAGGUAGCUUAACCUUCGGGAGGGCGCUUACCACUUUGUGAUUCAUGACUGGGGUGAAGUCAUAA